rnacentral:rRNA from 1 species
UACGAAGGGGGCGAGCGUUAUUCGGAAUCACUGGGCGUAAAGCGUGCGUAGGCUGUUCUACAAGUCAGGAGUGAAAGCCCAAGGCUUAACCUUGGAAGCGCUCUUGAAACUGUAGGACUCGAGUUCGGGAGAGGAUAGCGGAAUUCUCAGUGUAGCAGUGAAAUGCGUAGAUAUUGAGAGGAACCCCAGGGGCGGCAGCGGCUAUCUGGACCGACACUGACGCUGAGGCACGAAAGCGUGGGGAUCAAACAGG